GAUCUGCGCCUGCAGCCCGCCGCCCGAGCUCGGGGAGCCGUGCCCCCGGACAUGUGAUUAAUACUGCACCCAAGCUCCGUUUUAGCAGUUUCAUGAGUUCCCUGGGAGAGGUCCGUAGCGGAGGAGGUGAUAAAAGCGUCAUGUUGCAUGAGUUCCUGGUGGAACAGAAGAGUCGGGCCAGGUGGUGGAGCACUGAUGAGCCUAGCUGGACACACAGCUCCAGUCUCUGGCAGUCCUGGCAGCAUUAUAAAGCACUCAUGUCAUGGCUCUCAGCACUCAGGACGGCUUCCCGUGAUCUGCAGGAGGAGGGUCAGGACCUGAAGCCUUGAGAAAAGCUCCCAAGAGCAUGUUCAGUCCAGCCCAGUUGACAUUAACCAAAAUCCAGCUGAAUCUCACUAGUGAGGAGACAGCUACAGUGUUUGUGUCCACCGUGAACUGCAACGUCUUCAUCUGUGUGCCGCAAGGAGCAGGCACACCUUUCUUACUGUCUGCCAAAGAAGACGAAGUAAGAGCAGCUCUAAGAGAGCAUGCAGUACCUGGGAUGACUCCAGGACUCCCUAGCCACCAAAGGCAUCUCCACAGAGAUGGAUGGAGAUACUUGCUCUGGUUCCUGCACAACUCUGCCCUCAGGGAGCUCUCCCAGCCCUUACAGUGCAAGGAAACACAGGUGGAUGCUGGACUGUAUGACUGAACUGUAGUGUGGCAGAGCAUUGUGAAGCCUUCGAUGGGCCCAAGGAAAACAGCCUGUUUGCAGAGAGAGCAGGAGGCUCAGAAGCCACAGGCAACUCCCUAGGGGCUGCCUCUCUAGCCUGGAAGAAGCCUAGAAAGCAGAUUGACAAGAAGAGUGUGGGCUUUAUGGCUCCCAAGAAAGCAGCUGCUCAAAAUCACUGCGCCGUACUUAUCAAGUUUAUGAGGUGAGAGUAAGAAUAAAAAAUAUCCCCAAACAAUCAGAAAGUUAAUACAGAAUAUGUGGAA